CAGCAGUGGGGAAUAUUGCACAAUGGGCGCAAGCCUGAUGCAGCCAUGCCGCGUGUGUGAAGAAGGCCUUCGGGUUGUAAAGCACUUUCAGCGGGGAGGAAGGCGGUGAGGUUAAUAACCUCAUCGAUUGACGUUACCCGCAGAAGAAGCACCGGCUAACUCCGUGCCAGCAGCCGCGGUAAUACGGAGGGUGCAAGCGUUAAUCGGAAUUACUGGGCGUAAAGCGCACGCAGGCGGUCUGUCAAGUCGGAUGUGAAAUCCCCGGGCUCAACCUGGGAACUGCAUCUGAUACUGGCAAGCUUGAGUCUCGUAGAGGGGGGUAGAAUUCCAGGUGUAGCGGUGAAAUGCGUAGAGAUCUGGAGGAAUACCGGUGGCGAAGGCGGCCCCCUGGACAAAGACUGACGCUCAGGUGCGAAAGCGUGGGGAGCAAACAGGAUUAGA
rnacentral:rRNA from 1 species